CCAGUCAUAUGCUUGUCUCAAAGAUUAAGCCAUGCAUGUCUGAGUACAGACCGAUCUAAGGUGAAACCGCGAAUGGCUCAUUAAAUCAGCCAUAAUUCCUUGGAUAGUGAAAAACUUUCCUCGGAUAACUGUGGAAAAUCCAGAGCUAAUACGUGCAACUGAGCUCCGACCUCGACGCAAGUCUUGGGAAGAGCGCAUUUAUUAGAUUCAAAACUGACCGGUGUACUCCUUCGGGAUACGCCGUUUGUCAAAAGUUUGAUGAUUCCGGAUAACUUUAGCCGAGCGCUACGGUCUUCAGUACCGGCGCCGUAUCUUUCAAGUGUCUGCCUUAUCAGCUUUCGAUUGUAGGUUAAACGCCUACAAUGGCUGUAACGGGUAACGGGGAAUCAGGGUUCGAUUCCGGAGAGGGAGCCUGAGAAACGGCUACCACAUCUAAGGAAGGCAGCAGGCACGCAAAUUACCCACUCCCAGCCCGGGGAGGUAGUGACGAAAAAUAACGAUGCGAGACUCUUCCGAGGCCUCGCAAUCGGAAUGAGUCCAUUUUAAAUCCUUGGACGAGGAUCCAUUGGAGGGCAAGUCUGGUGCCAGCAGCCGCGGUAAUUCCAGCUCCAAUAGCGUAUAUUAAAGUUGCUGCGGUUAAAAAGCUCGUAGUUGGACUUUCUAGAUCCAUUUCGUGGGUGAGUCGCUCUAUGUACUAGCGUCUUACGCAGUUACUUGACGACGUCAUCGGGUAAUUUUCUUUUUUGGCUUCGGUCGAUUAAGAGAUUCCUGGUGUUACAGAGUCUUGUGGACGGUGAGGCGUUGUCUUAGGGUAUUGCUCGUCUGCGUUUGGUACAAUUAAAAUUUUGUCGGCUCGCUCGGAGUGCUCUUUACCGAGUGUUCCAGGGUGGCUGACACGUUCACUUUGAAAAAAUUAGAGUGCUUAAAGCGGGCUUAUUUACGGCCUGAAUGUCUGUGCAUGGAAUGAAGUAACAGGACCUCGAUUCUGUUGUUUUUGUUGGUUUUAAUGAACCGAGGUAAUGAUUAAAAGGGACAGACGGUGGCAUUAGUAUUGCGGCGCUAGAGGUGAAAUUCUUGGACCGUCGCAAGACUAACUACUGCGAAAGCAUUUGCCGAGAAUGUUUUCAUUAAUCAAGAACGAAAGUUAGAGGAUCGAAGGCGAUCAGAUACCGCCCUAGUUCUAACCCUAAACUAUGCUAACUAGCGAUCCGCCGGAGUCAUUCCCACGACCCGGCGGGAAGCCCCAGGGAAACCAAAGUCUUUGAGUUCCGGGGGAAGUAUGGUUGCAAAGCUGAAACUUAAAGGAAUUGACGGAAGGGCACCACCAGGAGUGGAGCCUGCGGCUUAAUUUGACUCAACACGGGAAACCUCACCAGGCCCGGACAUCAUAAGGAUUGACAGGUUGAGAGCUCUUUCUCGAUUUGAUGGGUGGUGGUGCAUGGCCGUUCUUAGUUGGUGGAGUGAUCUGUCUGGUUGAUUCCGAUAACGAACGAGACUCUACCCUACUAACUAGUCGGCGGAUCGUAACCCUGAGAUGGUUAGUUUGUAUAGGAUUGUUUUUGCCUAGGUGAAGUUCGCAGUCAAUGGGAGUAAUCGCUCGUUAGCUAUUCGUAGUGAAGAGAGGAGCUCCUUGCGAUUUGUGGCUUGGUCAAAGCGGCUUUCUGAUUACUACUACUGCUGGGGGCGUCCGUCGCAAUGUUUCUUCUUAGAGGGAUCAGCGGCGUAUAGCCGCACGAGAAAGAGCAAUAACAGGUCUGUGAUGCCCUUAGAUGUUCUGGGCCGCACGCGCGCUACAAUGUAGGGCUCAGCGUGCAUUCCCUCUCCGAAAGGAGCGGGUAACCCGUUGAAACCCCUACCCGAUUGGGAUUGGGGAUUGCAAUUAUUUCCCAUAAACGAGGAAUUCCCAGUAAGCGCGAAUCAUUAAUUCGCGCUGAUUACGUCCCUGCCCUUUGUACACACCGCCCGUCGCUACUACCGAUUGAAUGAUUGGGUGAGGGCAUCGGACUGGCCCUUCGGUUUAGUAAACUAGACCUUAGGCUGACGGAAAGAUGUCCAAACUGUAAUCAUUUAGAGGAGUAAAGUCGUA
rnacentral:rRNA from 1 species